AGUGAACGCUGGCGGUAGGCCUAACACAUGCAAGUCGAACGGCAGCACAGUAAGAGCUUGCUCUUACGGGUGGCGAGUGGCGGACGGGUGAGGAAUACAUCGGAAUCUAGUUUUUCGUGGGGGAAAACGUAGGGAAACUUACGCUAAUACCGCAUACGACCUGCGGGUGAAAGCAGAGGAACGUCGGACGUUGCGCGAGGGAAGGAGCCGAUGUCGGAUUAGCUAGUUGGCGGGGGAAGGGCCCACCAAGGCGACGAUCCGUACAUGGUCUGAGCGGAUGGUCAGCCCCCCUGCAACUGAGCCACGGUCCAGACCCCUACGCGAGGCAACAGUGCAGAAUAUUGUACUAUGGGCUCAACCCUGGUCCAGCCCUACCACGUGGCUGAAGAAAGCCUUCGCCUUGUAAAUCCCUUCUGUUGGGAAAGAACAGCAGCAGGUUCAUCCCCCCCUGUUCUGACGGUACCCAAAGAAUAAGCACCGGCUAACUUCGUG
rnacentral:rRNA from 1 species